CCGAGAUUCAACAUGGAACGAGUGGCGGACGGGUGAGUMACACGUGGGUAACCUGCCCUUAAGUGGGGGAUAACAUUUGGAAACAGAUGCUAAUACCGCAAGAUCCAAGAACCGCAGGUUCUUGGCUGAAAGAUGGCGUAAGCUAUCGCUUUUGGAUGGACCCGCGGCGUAUUAGCUAGUUGGUGAGGUAAUGGCUCACCAAGGCGAUGAUACGUAGCCRAACUGAGAGGUUGAUCGGCCACAUUGGGACUGAGACACGGCCCAAACUCCUACGGGAGGCAGCAGUAGGGAAUCUUCCACAAUGGACGCAAGUCUGAUGGAGCAACGCCGCGUGAGUGARGAAGGCUUUCGGGUCGUAAAACUCUGUUGUUGGAGAAGAAUGGUCGGCAGAGUAACUGUUGUCGGCGUGACGGUAUCCAACCAGAAAGCCACGGCUAACUACGUGCCAGCAGCCGCGGUAAUACGUAGGUGGCAAGCGUUAUCCGGAUUUAUUGGGCGUAAAGCGAGCGCAGGCGGUUUUUUAAGUCUGAUGUGAAAGCCCUCGGCUUAACCGAGGAAGCGCAUCGGAAACUGGGAAACUUGAGUGCAGAAGAGGACAGUGGAACUCCAUGUGUAGCGGUGAAAUGCGUAGAUAUAUGGAAGAACACCAGUGGCGAAGGCGGCUGUCUGGUCUGUAACUGACGCUGAGGCUCGAAAGCAUGGGUAGCGAACAGGAUUAGAUACCCUGGUAGUCCAUGCCGUAAACGAUGAAUGCUAGGUGUUGGAGGGUUUCCGCCCUUCAGUGCCGCAGCUAACGCAUUAAGCAUUCCGCCUGGGGAGUACGACCGCAAGGUUGAAACUCAAAGGAAUUGACGGGGGCCCGCACAAGCGGUGGAGCAUGUGGUUUAAUUCGAAGCAACGCGAAGAACCUUACCAGGUCUUGACAUCUUUUGAUCACCUGAGAGAUCAGGUUUCCCCUUCGGGGGCAAAAUGACAGGUGGUGCAUGGUUGUCGUCAGCUCGUGUCGUGAGAUGUUGGGUU
rnacentral:rRNA from 1 species